UACCGGCGGCUCGAGUGGUGGCCACUAUUACUGGGCUUAAAGCGUUCGUAGCUGGUCUGUUAAGUCUCUGGGGAAAUCUACUGGCUUAACCAAUAGGCGUCUCAGGGAUACUGGCAGACUAGGGACCGGGAGAGGUGAGAGGUACUCCAGGGGUAGGAGUGAAAUCCUGUAAUCCUUGGGGGACCACCUGUGGCGAAGGCGUCUCACCAGAACGGCUCCGACAGUGAGGGACGAAAGCUGGGGGAGCAAACCGG
rnacentral:rRNA from 1 species